CUGCUAACCAUGAAAACAACUCAGUGACAUGACUUAUGACCCUGGCUGAGGACGCCCGGGCACAGCAAGGGCCCUGGCAGGGGCCUGGGCUCAGACUUGAAGGACAACAAUCCUUCA
rnacentral:lncRNA from 1 species